GUCUGUGCAUUUUCCUGUGUGGGUUCCCCGAGUCUCCCUGCAGCUCCCUUUCAAAUCUAUUGUAUUUAGUUGUCUCCAGUUUAGACUGGAGACAGCUGGGAUCAACUGGCCAUUCCAGAAGAAUGAUUACCAGGCUGCUGAACGCUGCCUACCGAAGCCCUAUGCAGCGUCUAAGAACUCGUCCACAAACUCUAUCCGGUCCAGUGACUUUGUUGGGUUUGAUGUGGCUCAGGGGUCGCUUCAUUUCGUGGGUCCCUGUCGCCAAUGGAGAGUCUUCUUUAGGCUGGUUCAUAUCAUGGUUUUUUAUUACUCCUUCCAAGUACUCAGAUAUCAUCUCCAACAGUGAUCUGAAAUCUAAAGGACCUCCUGUUGUCUACCAACUGAG